rnacentral:rRNA from 1 species
GACGAACGCUGGCGGCGUGCUUAACACAUGCAAGUCGAACGGAAAGACCCCUUUCGGGGGGUACUCGAGUGGCGAACGGGUGAGUAACACGUGAGUAACCUGCCCUUGACUUUGGGAUAACUUCAGGAAACUGGGGCUAAUACCGGAUAGGAGCUCCUGCUGCAUGGUGGGGGUUGGAAAGUUUCGGCGGUUGGGGAUGGACUCGCGGCUUAUCAGCUUGUUGGUGGGGUAGUGGCUUACCAAGGCUUUGACGGGUAGCCGGCCUGAGAGGGUGACCGGCCACAUUGGGACUGAGAUACGGCCCAGACUCCUACGGGAGGCAGCAGUGGGGAAUAUUGCACAAUGGGUGGAAGCCUGAUGCAGCAACGCCGUGUGCGGGAUGACGGCCUUCGGGUUGUAAACCGCUUUCGCUCAUGACGAAGCUUUGUGUGACGGUAGUGGGUAAAGAAGCACCGGCUAACUACGUG